rnacentral:rRNA from 18 species
UAGCGGCGGACGGGUGAGUAACACGUGGAUAACCUACCUAUAAGACUGGGAUAACUUCGGGAAACCGGAGCUAAUACCGCAUGAAGUCACCGGAUCGCAUGGUCUGGUGAUGAAAACUUCGGUGCUCAAGGAUGGGCCUGCGUUAGAUUAGCUAGUAGGUGAGGUAAUGGCUCACCUAGGCUACGAUCUAUAGCUGGUCUGAGAGGAUGAUCAG